rnacentral:rRNA from 1 species
AGAGGGUGCAAGCGUUAAUCGGAAUAACUGGGCGUAAAGGGUGCGCAGGUGGAUAGAUAAGUCAGGUGUGAAAUCCCAGAGCUUAACUUUGGAAUUGCGCUUGAAACUGUUUGUCUAGAGUUCUGUAGAGGGUAGUGGAAUUUCCGGUGUAGCGGUGAAAUGCGUAGAGAUCGGAAGGAACACCAGUGGCGAAGGCGACUACCUGGACAGAGACUGACACUGAGGCACGAAAGCGUGGGUAGCGAACAGGAUUAGAUACCCUGGUAGUCCAUGCUGUAAACGAUGAAAACUAACUGUUUGUUUCGAACAUGAGAUGAGUAGUGAAGCUAACGCGUUAAGUUUUCCGCCUGGGGAGUACGGCCGCAAGGCUA